AAACGAAUGCCUCGUAAAUUUGGUGACUCUGAAUAGCUUAGCCGAUCGCAUGGUCUCGUACCGGCGACGUAUCUAUCAAGUGUCUGCCUUAUCAACUUUCGAUGGUAGUUUAUAUGCCUACCAUGGUUGUAACGGGUAACGGAGAAUAAGGGUUCGACUCCGGAGAGGGAGCCUGAGAAACGGCUACCACAUCCAAGGAAGGCAGCAGGCGCGCAAAUUACCCACUCUCAGCACGAGGAGGUAGUGACGAAAAAUAACGAGACCGUUCUCUUCGAGGCCGGUUAUCGGAAUGAGUACAACUUAAAGCCGUUAACAAGGAUCUAUGAGAGGGCAAGUCUGGUGCCAGCAGCCGCGGUAAUUCCAGCUCUCAAAGUGUAUAUCGUCAUUGCUGCGGUUAAAAAGCUCGUAGUUGGAUUUAAGUUCGAUGACUCGGUCCAUCCAUAGGAUGAGAACUGAGCUCAUCGGCUAAUCAUCAGUUGGUUUUGUUUAGGUGGCUUUAAACGGUCGCCUAGGCUGGCUAACAAGUUUACUUUGAAAAAAUUAGAGUGCUCAACGCGGGCUUAAUGCCUGAAUAGUCGUGCAUGGAAUAAUGGAAUAGGAUUUCGGUUCUAUUUUGUUGGUUUUUUUAACCGAAAUAAUGGUUAAGAGGGACAGACGGGGGCAUUCGUAUCGCUACGUGAGAGGUGAAAUUCUUGGACCGUAGCGAGACGCCCGACUGCGAAAGCAUUUGCCAAGAAUGUCUUCAUUAAUCAAGAACGAAAGUCAGAGGUUCGAAGGCGAUCAGAUACCGCCCUAGUUCUGACCGUAAACGAUACCAACUAGCGUUCCGCCGGCGGUAAAUACGCCUUGGCGGGCAGCUUCCCGGAAACGAAAGUGUUUCGGUUCCGGGGGAAGUAUGGUUGCAAAGCUGAAACUUAAAGAAAUUGACGGAAGGGCACCACCAGGAGUGGAGCCUGCGGCUUAAUUUGACUCAACACGGGAAAACUCACCUGGCCCGGACACCGUGAGGAUUGACAGAUUGAGAGCUCUUUCUUGAUUC
rnacentral:rRNA from 1 species